GACGAACGCUGGCGGCGUGCUUAACACAUGCAAGUCGAACGGUAAGGCCCUUCGGGGUACACGAGUGGCGAACGGGUGAGUAACACGUGGGUGAUCUGCCCUGCACUUCGGGAUAAGCCUGGGAAACUGGGUCUAAUACCGGAUAGGACCACUGCCUGCAUGGGUGGUGGUGGAAAGCUUUUGCGGUGUGGGAUGGGCCCGCGGCCUAUCAGCUUGUUGGUGGGGUGAUGGCCUACCAAGGCGACGACGGGUAGCCGGCCUGAGAGGGUGACCGGCCACACUGGGACUGAGGUACGGCCCAGACUCCUACGGGAGGCAGCAGUGGGGAAUAUUGCACAAUGGGCGCAAGCCUGAUGCAGCGACGCCGCGUGAGGGAUGACGGCCUUCGGGUUGUAAACCUCUUUCAGCAGGGACGAAGCGAGAGUGACGGUACCUGCAGAAGAAGGACCGGCCAACUACGUGCCAGCCGCCGCCGUAA
rnacentral:rRNA from 1 species